AUCACUGACACGGGGUGUCCGCCACCGGCGCGGACUGAGAACAUACCCGGCAAGAACCUGAUCUAGUUCGUACUAGCGGAGGGAUGUCGCCCAUGCACCAA
rnacentral:ncRNA from 1 species